UACGUAGGGGGCAAGCGUUGUCCGGAAUUAUUGGGCGUAAAGAGCGUGUAGGCGGUCCGGUAAGUCAGCUGUGAAAGUCAAGGGCUCAACCCUUGAAAGCCGGUUGAUACUGUCGGGCUAGAGUCCGGAAGAGGCGAGUGGAAUUCCCGGUGUAGCGGUGAAAUGCGCAGAUAUCGGGAGGAACACCAAUGGCGAAGGCAGCUCGCUGGGACGGUACUGACGCUGAGACGCGAAAGCGGUGGGGAGCAAACAGG
rnacentral:rRNA from 1 species